rnacentral:lncRNA from 1 species
UGCAAUACCAUUUGAACCCCAUGUCUUUGGUUGUCUCCAAGUAAAAGCGUACCCAUGUUGAUUGCUUGAUGUUGAUGUUAAUGCCUCUGUAAAACUUGCAGGUCCCGGUUGCCAUUGGAGGCCCUGGUCUUCACUCCGGAGUGAAAUUCCGGAAGGACAUUGAAACCCCUGGGCUCGCCAACGUCGCGGCGACUGUGAUGAACCUCCAUGGAUUUGUGGCCCCUGCUGACUACGAGCAAACCCUGAUUGAAGUGGCUGACAACUAAAGACUGGCCAGCUAUGCCCAAUUUUGGUUCUAUAGUUUGAGAAUGGAUAUGGCCAUGUCAUUUAAUAAUUUAUGUUUGCAAGCACGUUGCUCAAACUCAGCAAAACAUUGAGAGAUGCCUUUUGACUUGCAUUUAGAUGCUCUAUUUAUACCGAUGACAGUUGUAUGCUGUGCUGGCUUUUGGCAGUUUGAUAGCUAUCUUUAUUUAGCUAUGUAUACUGUAUCUGAGGCCGCAAACUUUGUCUCAGUCUAAAAUUGCUCGAGGUUAUAUACUGUUUGUGUGAGUCAUCACUAGUGAUUACCUUUUGCCUCACGCCUUGACGAACGAGUUCGUUAACCUGCUGAGAAUGGACUCAUGGUACUACGGUAAUAGCUUUUGUGGGAAGGUGCAGUAAUACUGAGAUGGCGAGCUGUCAGCUUCAGAUAACAUCUCACUAUCGAGCGAGCUAACUAGGGCAUUUUGAUGAUAUACAUGGUUCAAGACCUGUUCUGAGGCCUUGUUUAGAUACGAAAAGGUUUUGGAUUUUACUACUGUAGCACUUUCGUUUGUUUGUGGCAAAUAUUGUCUAAUCAUGGACUAACUAGGAUUAAAAGAUUCGUCUCGUGAUUUACAGGUAAACUUGCAAUUACUUUUUAUUUUUAUCUAUAUUUAAUGCUUCAUGCAUUUGACAAAAAAUUCGAUGUGAUGAGAAAUUUUGAAAACUUUUUGAGUUUUGAGGUGAACUAAACAAGGCCUGAAUUUAUCCAUACAUGUUUGGCUUUUAAACUCCAUCCGUGCUUAUCUUUGAACAUCAUCUUGCCACGCCUAGUAGCCUAGUAGGUAACCAAAAUUAAUGACAUAACAUACCGGGAGGUGCUGGACGGAGGGGCGCGCGGAGGGAAUUGGCGUUGGGGGAGGGCGCGGCGUCGGCGGCGGCCCGUGGCCGAGCGCAUUCCUCCCGGACGCGGCCUAGCGCGAGCUGUCGGCGGGAUGCGCGCGUCGUCAGGUCCAAGAGGAUACCGC